rnacentral:misc_RNA from 1 species
CGCCAUGACAGCUGAUGCUCGUCGCAUACUUGACGUUUGAUCAGAACAUGUUAUUUUGCAGAUUUCUUUCCUACAAAUGGCAGACUCUUUUUUCGGUUUUGAUACUACGCUUGGAGAUAGUGGUUUAGAGGACGGAUUGGAUUGUCCGUUAGAAGAAGAUGAUCUUGGUGAAGAAGAAGAAUAUGAUGCCUUGAAUGAUGAAACAUUCGGUCCUGACGCUACAAUUGGUGAUUGGGAAAAGGAUCAUGAAAAACUUGCUAAAAUUACAGAAUCAAGUCGCCCACAUAAUCAGAAUGCGACAAAUAAGAAGAAUGGUGUUAACGUAGAUAUUCAGGAUAAUUUGUCGCAUUUGGUAUUGGAUGACAAGGAAGGAAUAGUUCCACGUCCUGGUGUAUGGAGUAGCCCUUCUGAUCUAUCUCUUCCUAAAGUUCGUCCCCGUUUAUCUCUACCAACUAACUUGAAAAAUGCCUGUACAGUGGAAGAAUUGGAAAGGGGGCUCAUUGCAAAUAGGCCACCACCAGGUCUCAGUAAACCACAAACACAACAACAGCAGAAGAAGUCUGAGGGUUCGCUUCUUUUUGAGGCUCUGUCUUUGAAUGAGAAACUUCAGAUUAAUGGCCUACCCCCGCCGCUACGCUUUCCACCUGGAUUAGGUAUACCUGGGACGCAUCCUAUGGUUUUACCUAAUGUAAGACCACCCUCACAAUUUAUGCCACCUCCUAGAUUACUACUUAAUCAAUCUGGAAAUAUGUUACGUUAUCCUGUACCGCAUUUAAUGUUGCCACACACAGUACAAAGGCAAACUCUUCAUGGCUCCUAUGGGUUCUCUCAACCGCCACAUCCAAAUUUAGGAAGCCCACAGUUUCUUCGGCCAGAUCACAUGAUGCCUCCUUUUUCUAAUAAUCAAACCAACCAUCAACAACAUCAACAUUCUUAUUCACAUUCAAGUAAUCAGAGAAACCAGAAUAGACCUUAUCACCAUAAUGAACAACAAAGCGGACAUCAACCAUUUUUUAAAAAUAACCAAUACCUUCAUCGGAAUCAUGACAGAAAUAAUCAAAGACAUUAUCAUAAUCAAUAUUACUCUCCAAGUAUUAAUGGUAUGAAUGCUUCGGGGGAGUAUGAUGAAUAUGCAGGUCUUAUGAGUAGUCGUGAAAAGCAGUGGUUAAUUAAUAUUCAACUGUUACAAUUGAAUACAAUUCAACCAUAUAUCGAUGACUAUUAUUAUACUGUGUUUUGUGAUAGACAAAAUAAACAACAUGCAAAUCAAGAGCAAAAAGAUAGAAAGCAUUAUAAUAAUAAUGGUUAUCACAGGGAUCACAGAGAUUGGGAGACAAAUCCACCUCAAACUCUUUCAAGAUCAGCAUAUACGCCAGCUACAUUUGAAAAUUCGUUGGGUAAACUUCAUUUUAGUAGUGUAACUGCACCACGUAAAAUUAUCGAUAUGGAUGUUGUACCAAAUAGCGACUCGCAAUCUACUCCUCAAUCCCAACAGAAAGAUACCAAAAGAACACGACAAUUACUUCUUGAAAUUGAGAGGCUGUACAUAAUACUAUUGAAACUCGAAGAUCUGAACAAUCCUCUUGCUGUUAGUUCGGAGCCACAUCAACAGCAAGAAGGAGAAGCUGAGACAAGUGCAAAUAAAACUGAACCGGAAUUAAUCAGCAUGAUGUUAUCGUCACUACAACAAUUAGUACAAGAUGACAAAUUAGCUAGUAUGCUAAGUAUUCGAAAAGGAAAGACAUUAUUACUGCGUUUUUUACCUCACCUGGAUGUGACAGAAUAUCAAGAGCAGUUAAAAGAUUUGUGGACUGCAAUAUUCAAAGGAUUAGCUAUAAUAGGUCGUAGAGAUUGUCAUUUAUUAACAAACUUUUACUCCGAAUAUCGAAGAUGGCUUAAUACUGUGAAAAGUUUUGAUACAAUACUCCAAUUAGCAGGAGCGUUAUCUAAUUCGGUUGUACAACCUAUUAAAAACAACAGUUUGGCUUUUGCUCUUAUGAACAAGUUUGGCGUAUCUGCGAUAGCGGCACUAUUCGAGCAAUCUGAACGAUUGUGUGCUGCGGAAGUAUCCCUGCCUUCUGAAUGGUCGGCUUUCGUAAUAACGAUAACUGACAUGGUCGGUAAUUCGCCAUCUUGCGUUACACCUUGCCAACCCGUUGCUGCAAAUACGCUCAAUAAACAUCUGAAUCGGAUUCCCAAUUUACAGAUAGAAAGGUCAGGGCAUAACUUUGUGAUGACCGUAUAAUGAAACGGAAAUAAAGGAUUUCCAAUAAUCAUAACGCGCGCUUGCAGUAUCAUAAGAAUUUGAGAUGAUCUAAAGUAUAUAUGACGACAUGGCCUUUAGAAUAACUAAAUAAGGAUUAUCCUUUUGGACGUUACGGAUUAAUACGGUACAAUAUUGAACAAAAGGCAAACUGAACUAAACGACUAUUUAUAAAUUAAUAUUUGUGAUCACUCAUGUACAGCGCUAAAAAGUUCUGCUGAUUAGCAUUCUCACUACCACGUAGUAAACUGAUAAAGAGAAAUAAAUUCUAUGUUUUUACCUAAGCAACACUAAAAAUCUAAGGCAUAUACGAUUGAUUAUAUAUCGCGAGCCUGUCAAAUGCCUGUUAGUUCGUAGACAAUGAUGUAUGUCUAAGGAGAGCCCAAAAGUUACAAUACAUUCUUCUUACUACGUAACUGGGCUCGUGCUCUUUUGGGAAAGAAACUUAGUUGUAGGCACAACGUGUUUAUGAGUUGUUUCAAGCGCUCUCGCGUAAGAAAUUUUAAAUAAUUUUAUGAUUAAGAGAACAAUUGUAUCUUAGAUUAGUUUUUAUUUUAUGCCGAAUGCUUGAAAUUUGCCCUAACAAUUCACAUGUUAACGAUACAAGGGUGAAUUAUAUAGGCGAUUAUUAAAAUAAUUAUAAUAUUUUUUAAGAGCUACUAAAAAUAUACAUAUAUAUUUGGUAAAAUAAUAUGCUCUUAUCGCCCCUUCAGAUUACAUAAAACUUUGUUUUUAUCCAUUGUCAUUCAUGUUCAUCGCAAUAACUGACGUCUUGUUUUUACAGUUCUUCUUUUUCUUCACAAUUUGACGAUUACCGUCAGUUGUUGCGAAAGUUUGAUGUUAUGUUGCUAAUGCAUUAUAGAAUUGUAUCAAAAAUUCAUGGUAACACGUACAGCGUAAUGACAUAGAUCGAAAUUCAUUCAUAUAUAGCGACGAGGGGGUUCUAUUUUGAAUCCAUAUACUUUAGCAAUAACCAAGUACACAUAUUUGUUUUCACGUGUAUGGGUACGGAUGGUAUCACAUUGUAACGCGCAAUGUUCUAUAUUUUGUUUUUUAUCACCGUCGUUAAGACGGAAAUUUUUGCUGAUGGAAAGCACCAUUCUAUGUCUUCUUGUAAAGUAGUUAAGGCGGUUGAAACGAAAAUUGUGCGUUCGAUUUUUGAUUAAAGAUAUAUUUUUAUAGAGAUGCUAUGUUCAUUACGUUUAAAUACGGAACGAAUGUAACGAAACGCUAAAAUUGUGGUCGUUGAAUUAACUUGAAGAUCCUACAUAGUUUAUCAUCUAUAUUAUAUCUAUUAUGUAAUCAGUGAUAUACCUGUACAUUGAACAAGAAAAAGAAUAAGAAGAAAUUGAUUGUAAAUUGAUAAUACAAUCCGAGGAUAUAUCUGUAGCUGUUGUGUAUGUACAGAAUUGACCUAAUUUGAAAUCAAAGUCUUAAAUAAAUGUUUUGC